CAGGAGUAAAGACAUGGCUCGUGACCAUAGGAGCUUCCAGAAAGAGGGUACGGGAAGAUCCACCCCACGCUGACCUGACGUGGGCCUGCACCCCAGGCCUACAAAGGAGCCUGGCCUGGAGUAGGAGAAUAUACAUAUAGCACCAUGCACACCGACAUCAAAUUCUUCAUGGAACCCGAGGUCAAUGAACUUUUACAUACGCCUAAACCUGUGUGACACCAACCAGAUCAUGAUGCAAAACACCUCCACCAUGCUAGAAGUUUCCCUGAAGCUCCCUUGCAGUCAGCGUCCCGCACGGGUAACUGCCAUCCCAGCCUCUCUCACUGAAGAUUGGCUCCGCCUGUUCCUGAACUUACUAACGGAAUAGCAUGUACUCGUU